UACGUAAGGUCCGAGCGUUGUCCGGAAUCAUUGGGCGUAAAGGGUUCGCAGGCGGAAAUGCAAGUCAGAUGUAAAAGGCAGUAGCUUAACUACUGUAAGCAUUUGAAACUGCAUAUCUUGAGAAGAGUAGAGGUAAGUGGAAUUCCUAGUGUAGCGGUGAAAUGCGCAGAUAUUAGGAGGAAUACCGGUGGCGAAGGCGACUUUCUGGCCAUUAUCUGACGCUGAGGUACGAAAGCGUGGGUAGCAAACAGG
rnacentral:rRNA from 1 species